rnacentral:lncRNA from 1 species
AAAGGUAGAACUAGGACUUGAACCCACCCCUUGAACCCCAGUGCUUCAAGAGUUCACAUUCUAAACCACUGUGCAGUGCUGCUUUCCUUUUUAUUAUUUCCUGUUAUUUUAUUGUAGUCAUGAAUGGAGAGUGAGGAUUCAAGCAAAAGCCAGAAGCUUAUUCCAAGCCAUCUCCACACAGAGUUUGUGGCUAAUGAGUACUUCUGUAGCUUUAAAAAUCAUAGUUAUUUUCAUAAUAUAAAAAACAGUAAGACUGUUAGUGCUGGUAGAAGAGUCGUAGAAAUUAUAUCUCAUGGUGCUCUUAGGCAAGAUUUUAUGACACCUUCUGAAAGUGCGCCACCACGCCCAGCUAAUUUUUGUGUAUUUAGUAGAGGCGGGGUUUCGCCAUAUUGGCCAGGCUGGUGUUGAACUCCUAGCCUCAAGUAAUCUGCCCACCUCGGCCUCCCAAAGUGCUGGGAUUACAGGUGUGAACCACCGCACCCGGCCGAUACUGUAUCUUUAUGAGUUGCUUCACUGUUAAUACUGAAAAUCCUUAAGGAUCUGGCUGGUCUUUUGCAUUCAGGUAUUGGUUUUGCUCUAUUUGGUUUAAACUGAUAUUGCCCCAAAAGGCAGUGUAGCUUUUUAGUACACACUCCUCUUUAAUAAUGUCAGUGACCUUUA